rnacentral:snoRNA from 1 species
CAACCCAGUGGUGAGCUGAGAGUAAACCCCAGCUUAGGAAACAGGGUUGUGGAUGAUUCUGUGCUGAAAGUGUGGGGACAGUC